rnacentral:rRNA from 1 species
CAGUAGCCGCGGGAAUACGGAGGAUCCGAGCGUUAUCCGGAAUUAUUGGGUUUAAAGGGUGCGUAGGCGGAUAGAUAAGUCAGUGGUGAAAGACGGUGGCUCAACCAUCGCAGUGCCGUUGAUACUGUUUAUCUUGAAUAUGGAUGAGGUAGGCGGAAUGUGGCAAGUAGCGGUGAAAUGCAUAGAUAUGCCACAGAACACCGAUUGCGAAGGCAGCUUACCAAGGCAAAAUUGACGCUGAGGCACGAAAGCGUGGGGAUCGAACAGGAUUAGAUACCCCUGUAGUCCCUGUCUCUUAUAA